rnacentral:lncRNA from 1 species
GUUUAAUAUUUUUUUUGCUUUUCAAUUAUCUCCAUCGAAUUUAUGCCUGCAUCAUCGGCCGUACAAAUAUUCGGAGAGAAACAUUUGAAUGGGGCUAAGAUUUUUCUGAAUGAGGUUAGUAAGAUAACUAAAAAAGUAGUGUUUAUUAUUACGUUGAAAGCGGCUGCUUGAAAAGAAUAGGUACUCCGGAUGGGCUAAACAAUCAGACCGAGCAUGUGGUAGAUGCGUGAAGCAAAGCAGCUAGAGGUCUGCAUCUUCACUCAACCCCUUGUCCUCUCCAAGAAGCAACAGUAUUCGGUGGGUCAUGAGUAAUGACACUUGGAAGAAGCCUCAGUGAGGCACAAUUCAGAACGGUAUCGACGCAUAUCCGUGGCAUCUCCAGCAUAGAUAUCCAAUUUUAACUCAAUUUUUUUUUCAUGGAGAAUGUCAAUUAACCUCACAAAUUUAGAGGUAAUGUUAUCUUAAACACUACAAAGUACACAAUCGAUCAUUUGUCAUUUAGUCAUUAUUCUGGCUAAAGGGCUAAUAUAAACAGAACAAACGAUCGAUUGAACGGAACAAUAUGUAGCAUGUAAAUGGGGCUAAUUGACCAUUUAAGCGAACAUUGCCUAGAAGACACAAGUGCAGUGGAAAUUUUCUACUGGAAAAUGCUGCGAUGGACUUGCGCAAACCUAGAAAAAAAAUAUUUACAUUUUCUGCUUUGGUGAAUAUACCAACAAUCCAAUACAUAAUAUAAAGUUUAUUCUGUCAGUUAGUCGAAUAUUUGUCCUAGUUUAACGUACUCACUUGCAAAAUCUUAACUAUUUGCUGAAUUAUUCUCUAUUUCUCUACGCCUGGCCCUGCUACAAAAGAUACUGCCUAGUUUUGUUUAAAGCACAAUAUACUACUACAUAAUGCAUUUUUAUAUCUCAUUUUCGAAACUGAGAAUACAUUUUCUGGUUUCGCUGUAUAUGAUUGGGAGGAUUAGGUAUAUAGCCCUGGAAAAAAAAACUUGUCUUAGGUAUAUGAUCCUUUUUUUCGAAUUUGGCUUUAUGGCCUCAAAACAAAAUUUAUUUAGCUCUAUAGCCUUCUGUCAGUUUUGGGCAACUAACAGUGUUAAGUCAGAGGUAAAAAGACUAUUUUACCCCUAGGAAAAACAAUAGAAAAACAUAUAUAUAUGGAAACGUACAUGUGGUUAGUAUUGGAAAUAUACAUGUAGUUAUGUGAUAAUAUAUUUUUGCCAGGGGUAAAACGGUCUUUUUACCCCUGAAGCUGUCCAAAACUGACAAGGCUAUAUAGCCAAAUAAAUUUUGUUUUGAGAUCAUAGAACCAAAUUCGAAAAAAAGGCAUAUUCAAGUUUUCUCCAAGGCCAUACACCUAAUUCGAUUCGUGCAUGUACAGGUUUUUCCUCUUCUAUGGUGCGUGAACUUUGGGUGAAUGACGCUAACAUUGCUACACAAAACACUUUGAACAACGCUCGCUUUCGUCUCAUCAAUUGGCUUGCAGGUUGAAACGUAGAUUAAUUCAUUCAAUGGCGGGCAAUUAAACCCCCAAACGGUUUAGCGCAAGGCCACGCUUUGCUGCGGCGGCGAGCAGGAGG